CUACGGGAGGCAGCAGUGGGGAAUUUUGGACAAUGGACGAAAGUCUGAUCCAGCGACGCCGCGUGAAGGACGAAGGUUUUCGGAUCGUAAACUUCUUUUGCAGGGGACGAAUAUCCGCAAGGAUUUGACGGUACUCUGCGAAUAAGCCACGGCUAACUACGUGCCAGCAGCCGCGGUAAUACGUAGGUGGCGAGCGUUACUCGGAAUUACUAGGCGUAAAGCGCGUGUAGGCGGGAGCUUAAGUCUGCUGUUAAAUCUCACAGCCCAACUGUGAAAUGCCGGCAGAUACUGGGUUUCUUGAAUUCGGUAGAGGUAACUGGAAUUCCGUGUGUAGCGGUGAAAUGCGUAGAUAUACGGAAGAACGCCAAAGGCGAAGGCAGGUUACUGGGCCGCAAUUGACGCUGAGACGCGAAAGCUAGGGGAGCAAACAGGAUUAGAUACCCCGGUAGA
rnacentral:rRNA from 1 species